CUUAGAAAGAAGGCUCCAAGUGUUCCCAGGGGAACAGAGUCCGGGGUUUCCUUCUUUCAGGCUUGCAGACAGUGAUGGAAGCAGCCUCAGCCCAAGAAGGUGAAACUCUUCCUGGAAGGGGGGCAGGAGGGCUCCUGGCACAGUGGUCUGCAGGGCUUGGGAAACUGCUCCAAAGAAAGGUGGCUGUAGGGCCAGGUAUGUACACAAGUCUAAGUGUCCUCAGAGGCAAGAGGAAUUGGAUCUCCUGGAACUGGAGAGUCACAGGAGAUUGUGAACUGUCUGACAUGGGUUCUGGGAGCUGAAAUCCAGUCCUCUUGGAAGAGUAGUAGAUGCUCUUAACCACUGAACCAUCUCUCCAGCCCUGGUCUCAGGUAUUCUGAGACAGUACGCUUAUCUAAAGAACAUCAGAAGUCGUGUCAUGGACUAUCCGCUUGGUAGCAUUAUGGAGCCAUUUUAUCAGGCUUGUGCUUAGCUCCCCACAGUGCUACUCUUCCCUCAUCCUCUUACUUUCUCUAAUCCAGUUGCAGGCAACCUCUCCACACUCAUUCUCACCUUCCACUGAGCUGUUGCUUCCACCCUGCUCUGCCUAGACUGCCCUGCCUCAUCUCUACAUGCCCAGGUUAGCCUCAUUUUCCAACGCCUGAUUCACUGGCCUUGGUGGAAAGCAGCCCUACAUUCUUAACUAGAAGUGAACAGCGCCUCUCCUGAACCGCCACACGCUGUUGCUGACUCUGCUUCCUUCUGCUACAAAGAAGCAAGACCAUUACCCUCCCUCCUCCAGCUGACUGACCUCUUUGAGAAUGAUAAAUAGUAUCCAUGUAUCAUCUUGGAACCCCUCCACAGGGUGCUGUGCCCAGAGCAGAAACUCAGUAACAAAUGUUGAGGAAGGAAAUGUAGAGAGCUGGGUUUGUUUAUCAAGGGUGGAAGAUGAGAAAGACAGGGAGGAUGGGAAAGAAAGGAAACAGAAAAGGAAAGGGCAUUCCCACUUUCAUAGUAGCUGUUAUAAACCCUGAUUCACAGAAACAGAAAAAGAAGCUCACUGCCCUGUGCUGGGCAACACCCUCAAUGCUCAGCACACAUCCUUUCCUUCAAUAUUCACAAUGGCCCUUAUGAAGUGCUAUUAUCCUCAGUCUGUAGAUGAAGAAACUGAGGCCCAGAGAACUUACAUUGGAACCCAGGUUUACGAAGCUCAUCCCAAGGGUGGUUGGAAUGUGCACACUGCACCUCUGAUGAACGGGCCCUGUAUUUUUUAUAACUCAUCAUAUAAUCCCAAAUUCCUCUGAGGAGGAGAAACAAACAGAAACUGAUCAAGACACCCUGGUCUAACCCAACCUCAACAUUCAAGUUUUCCCAUUUAUCCAUCCUCCACAUCCAACAAGAGCUGCUCUAAGACUAUUCAGGUCCCUGCAUUCCACCACAGACAGGGCAGAGUCCUGAGCCCCACUUCACCCCAGCCGCUCUGGGCUCUCUCCCUGCAAGAUCUCCAGUGUGGACUCAAGCAAGCUUCCAGGAGUUGAAAUGCAAAACAUCUUUCUUUGAAAGCACUUGUGCAUUGGUUUCCCUGCUUUGGAUCACUUAAGGCAGACUUGAGUGGCCUUUUAAUAGGUUUGUUUUGUGGUUGGUUUAUUCCUCUUUUGGGGUGAGUGGAUUUCACUUAGCUGUGUGAAGAAGGAAAGGCUGUUUAUGAGCCAAGUGGAGCAGCAGACAUCAGACAGGCUGAAGGAUGUUGAAGUUUCCCAUGGGCCCUACAAGCCCCUUGAGCAUCUGACAAAGCUGGUUUGCUGCCUGAUCACUUUUAUUUUGAUUUUCACUCAGUUAUUCAGGAUCUAUUUUACUCACCUGGAAAGUUGCAUAAUCUGAAAAGCUCAAGACAAUUGAUUCCUAGUUGCUGUCCCUGUUUUGUUUUAGCAAGGUGGAUGAAAUGGCCUUGUCCUCUACAGCAAGACUGUAUGCACCUUUACUGGUAAAGAGGAGAGGAGAGUUGGGGCCAUUUCCCAUUCUGAUCAGGUAGUAAUUUUCAAAUAGAGACAAAAGUGAUGCACCUCAUUAAUGAACUCAGUUACUCCAACUGGCCCAGUCUAGGAAUGGAAGCAAACAUUUGUCGAGUUCCUGAUGCACAUUUACCCAGACCUCGUGAUCCCCUGGGCAACUCUAAAAUGUUUCACAGAUUCUCCAAAUUCAGUAUAUUGCAAAUUUAACUUAUUAUUCUCUCUCCAUCCUGUUCUCCCAAUAGCGGAACUUGUACUAUUUCAACUCACUGUCUGUGUCAGAAACUCAGCACUACUCUCAGUUCUCAGCCUCUAGCCUCCAUAUCUAAUUUGUCUUUUUAUAGGAUGUAUCUAAGUGCCUUCUAAAGAUCUGUCAUCUGUCCCUCUUGUCUCUCUACCACUGCCUUAUUACAAGCUACCAUCAUUUCUCAUCAUAUCUCUGUCUCCAUUCGCCCUCUCCAGUCCUCUUCCACACCAUCCCUUCAAGGAUGUGGCCAACACAAUUGUGUUAUCCUAUUGUCCUGCUUCAUCAAAUCCUCAUCAACCAGUGGGUAACUUGACACAUGGGACGCCUCACCCCUUGGCAAAUGGCCAGCUCUGCCAGCUCAUCUGCUGACACAGGACACUCCAGCCAUACUAGAAAGGCACUCUCCUCCCCAGCGUGCACUGUGGUCCAGAGUCUGGUUGAUAUAUCCUACCUAUAUUUGAAACCAUGGAAAACUACUCACCUUCCAAACUUUGCCUCCUUGUAGAAGCCUUCCUAUAUUCUCCAAGAAAGUGUCAGAUGGGGAGGAGGAAAGACACACUCUUUAUAUAUCUGUGGGUGCUGGUGAGAUGGCUCAGCAGGUAAAGGUGCUUGCUGCCAACUCUGAUGACCUGAAUUCAAUACCUGGGGCCCACAUGGUAGAAGAAGAGAACCUUUUCCUGAAAGUUGUCCUCUAACUUCACCCAUGUACUGUGGCAUGUGUGUGCAAUACACCUUGGGUCCCACGAAUACCAUGCACACAAAAUAAAUAAAUGUGAUUUUAAAAAAUACUUUUUUAGCCAGGUGUAGUGGCACACACCUUUGAUCCCAGCACUUGGGAGGCAGACACAGGUGGAUCUCUGUGAGAACGAGGCCAGCCUGGUCGACAUAGUGAACUCCAGGCAAGUUGUGGCUACAGGGAGACCCUGUCUCAAAAAGAAUUUUUUUUAAAGCUGUAAGACUAUAGAAACGAAUGCCAAUCGUCCAGUUGAUCAUAGCCAACAUUUUGUUGUAUUUGCUGCCAACUCUCAACUGCCGAGAGGAAACUGAUAGCAAAAGGAAGCGAAAAAGGGAUCCCAGAGUGAGUUAUUAAGACCUGCAGGUGGGAUGAGAUCCCAGAGAACCAGGAAGAGGCCAAGUGGAACCUGUCAAAGUAUUCUUCUAACAGAAUUUAAAAUGGCAGAGUCACCUUUAAAAAAAAAAAAAAAGCCACUUUCCCAAAGACUGAUAACCCAACGAACUAUAUAUCCUGGUAGAAAACUGAGAGCAUUAAGUGAAAAAAAUCUUAUUUUAUUGUGGAUUUGGCAUAGAAAAAUAUUUGGAAAAGAUGGCAAUACUGUAAAACUUUGGAUUGCUUGACUGUUUCAGCGCUUGUUGAAAAUGGUUAUGUGCCAACCCAGAAGGCCGUGCACUGAGAUAUUAACUGUGACUGCCUUUGCAUGACAGCACUGGAGGCAGCAUUUUUUCUGCACCUUGUCUGUCUGUCUGCAUUGUUUUAAACAACAAGGAAAAAAAAGUGCUAUAAAAAUAUAUUUCAGCCAGGCCUAGUGGCACACACCCUUAAUCUCAGCACUAGGGAGGCAGAGGCAGGUGGAUCUCUGUGAGAUUGAGGCCAGCCUAGCGAGCUCCAGGUCAGCUGAGGCUACAGGGAGUCCUUAUCUUAAAAAAAAAAAAAAACAUUCCGAGUUCAGUAGUUGAGGUUUUUCUUUCAUGGAAGACAUAGAAUAUUCAAAGAAGGGAGAUUGUUUGUUGACUACCUUGAAUUUGAAGCUGGAACUCUGAGGAGAUUUCUCCCAGUUAGGAUUAUGGACUGUCCCACACAGGGGACAGCAGCUGACCUUAAGUCACAUGUAAUGCAUUCAGAGGCGAACAAUCACUGCAAAAACUCCCAAACACACAAAUGCAUAACGGUUAAAAAUAAUAAACAAACGGAGCUUCUGUGUCUUCAUGCCUGGGAACAAGGGCCUGUUCUUCUCGUCUUUAUAAUGAAAUAGUGAGGUUCUGUGGAAAAACUCCAGCAGUUGGUCAAUGAUCUGAGCACAGUGUUGCAGCCUGUCACAGA